UCGAUACAGAGGACAGGGGAGCGGCGCGCGUGAGGACGCAGCAAGGCGAACCCUAGAUGUCGCCGCCAUUCCCUCCUGCUCGGGACUCCUCGCGGAGCGUAAGACCAUCCGUCCGGUGACCAAGUUCGGACAGGCAACUUGCCUUUGCGUGCGAGGUGGCAAAUAGGAGGUGACGUCGUUCGCAGUUAACCCGCCGUCCUGGAGCCAGCCGCCGUCGACAAACUGCGCUCGAAGCUCCUCCAUCCGUCGUCGACGCACCACCCAUUGAUUUUGUACGUCCUUCCUUUGUCCCACAUCCUCUCUUCUCUACGUUGACCUUCCAACUUCUUUUUCAAGGACACCCGUCAUCCCGCUCGUCGACGUCUGUGAUCGUGGAUUCCGUGAGAUCUCACGUUCCAUCUACCCGCCCUACUUACUCGGAUAUUCUACCGAUCCAUGUUGCCUAUUUGGCGGGCUGCAAGCAAUGGGACUAUGGGAGAUGAAGUAUUGCACGUAUCCAACAACGAAGAGACAAGUGCAGAAACUGUUUUACUUCUUUCUGCCAAGAGAGCUCUACAACCGGCACAUCUCCCUGCCAUCUGCAUCUUCACAUUGAUUGGGAUCAUCCUUCUUUGUUCCUUGUCAAAAUAUACUCCCUAAAGAAGACCCCUUAUCAUCAAACCAAGCUAAUUUUGACCAAUGCAGGCAUGUAUAGAAAUGUACUAGACAAUCUGAAGAACCUAUCUAAAUAGAUGGUGCGCUGCAUGAAAUACCUUCAUAUAUCUGCCUGAACCAUCCAAGUAAUUACCAAAGGUGUUUUAGAAGAUUCAACUUAAUCGGAAUAAUGUCUAUCUAGCUCUACACACAUGGCCGUCUAUUUCAGGUUCAUCUAUAAUGGUCUUAGUUCUGCAAAAUCCUUCAGUUCAUUCAUCCAUGGUUGAUAUUAUUUGAAAAUACGAAAUUUUGUUUGAGGUAAGCAGUUUGUUAAGUACAUAUAUGUAUGUGCAUUUAUCAGGUUUCCGUCCUGAUUUAUAGAAGUGUAAGUAGGAGUAUGUAUUAUUCACACAAGUUGGUGGUAGUGUAAGCCUACUUGUGGUAUCACAAGUAAUCCCUCUAUUUUUAUUAACUUCGCAUAUAGAUUUUGUUUUAAGUCAAAAAAAAGUUUCGUCAAGUUUAUGGAAAAAAGACAUCAACAAUUAGAAUACCAAAUCAAUGUCAUUAGAUCCUUCAUAGAAUAUAUUUUCAUACUAUACCUAUUUGGUAUUGUAGAUGUUGCUACUUUUUUAUAAAAAGUUGGUCAAACUUUACUAAAUUUGACUUAAGACAAACCUAAUAUGCGAAGUAAAUAGAAACAAAGGGAAUAUUAUGAAGUAUUUUUUUUUUUGCUUGCCUUGAUAUGUCAAAAUGUCAGAUGGCUCUAAGUACAUUUCAGCCUCAUUAACAAUCCGGAUAAUUGCCAUUUCAUCCUUUGAUCCACAUUGAAUAUGACAUGUAGAUUAAAACCAACAAGACAUAAAACUAUAUAUUAUUCAGUGUCAUACACUCUUCUUCUAAUUAUUACCUAAUAUAUAGGUUAGCUUAUUUAAAUUUACUUUGUUAUAUUUGGAAAUUACUAUCAUCAUGGUCCAUAUUCCACAAUCGUUUUUGCACUUUCAUGACUUAUUAAAUGCUGUUGUUAUAGAGUUAUGAUUAAACUUAUGAGAUGUUGGAAAAAAAUUGUAGGUGGUAUUGUUAGAUGCUAUGGGAAACAUGUCAACUUCAUGUGCAAUGGAAGGAAAAGGGCGGCCUUAUUGAGGUAUGGUUGGAGGCUUCGAGCACGAAGAUAAACUUAAAAAUAAAGAAGAGCCUGCGUAAAAUGAUCAAUAUUUUGUUUGAGUGUAUGAGAAUGGAUCAAAGGUUCAAUGAAGUGUUUCACUCACCCAUUGGGUUCAAUUAUUUCAUGCCUUUGUAUAUUAAUCACAAUUCAUAUUAUUUCAUUGGAAAAAUGGACGGGCGCAGCAACGCACGCCAUCAUGGUCUAGUAUAGAACAUAGGAUGACAGACUUGUACAACAUUCGUACCAUUUCA